rnacentral:rRNA from 1 species
GUGUGAAUUGCAGAAUUCCGCGAAUCAUCGAGUCUUUGAACGCAAGUUGCGCCCGAGGCUUGACCAAGGGCAUUCCUGCCAGAGCGUCACCGCGACACCCACCAAUCCACUCCAUGAGUGGGUUGAGUGAAAGUGGCCAUCCGAAUGGGCCCCACCCCCAAGUGAGAACCUGGGGGUCGCGGGGCGGUUGGGUUGGCUGAAAUGGAGGGAAUUUGGCCGCCGUGGUGACACAGCCCGCGAUCAGGUGAUCCAGGUGAGAACUUGGAACUCAAUGUGUGUGGCUGUGUCCCCCAGUUGGUACUCGGAAUUCCAAAGCAGGUCUCUCUCUCUCUCUCUCUCUCCCCCCCUAUCCUUUGACCAGGAAUGGAGAAAGUUGGGAAGAAAAAUGUCACGCAACAGACCUCUGAUCAGGAAAGACUACCCGCUGAGUUUAA